GCCUUCCCAUCCUCAUGUGACCGCGAGCGGAGGCCGCUCCGCCUCCUAGGGCAUCCCGGCACUGCGGAGCGCGCGGGAGGAGGGCAGGCGACGUCACACAGCCCGCUGGAGGGGGACUGUAGGUGGAAGGAUGGCAGAAAAAAGGAGAAGCUACCUGGGAUGUUACACGGAACCAUAAGAUCCGGAUUUAAUAUGUCAGUUUAAGGUGGACUGUGCUGUUCCCAGGAAGAAGAGCUGUUCACAUGCUCGCUGGACGAAAAAUACCUAAACUAGACUUGUGUUAAUAUGUGCUGUUAUUCAGCUUUCGUUUUCAUAAAAUGUAUUGUCUAAUUAUUUAAGAUAAAUAUAACUGAAGAUAAA